rnacentral:rRNA from 1 species
GAGAUGUGGGUAGUCCGCACGAGCGCACCUCGCCUUUAGUUGCCAUCAUUAAGUUGGGCACUCUAGAGGGACUGCCGGUGAUAAGCCGGAGGAAGGUGGGGAUGACGUCAAGUCCUCAUGGCCCUUAUGGGCUGGGCUACACACGUGCUACAAUGGCGCUGACAGAGGGCAGCUAGCUCGCGAGAGUAAGCUAAUCCCAAAAAGGCGCCUCAGUUCAGAUUGCACUCUGCAACUCGAGUGCAUGAAGUUGGAAUCGCUAGUAAUCGUGGAUCAGCAUGCCACGGUGAAUACGUUCCCGGGCCUUGUACACACCGCCCGUCACACCAUGGGAAUUGGCUUUACCCGAAGGUAGUGUGCUAACCGCAAGGAGGCAGCUAACCACGGUAAGGUCAGUAACUGGGGUGAAGUCGUAACAAGGUAGCCGUAGGGGAACCUGCGGCUGGAUCACCUCCUUUCU